rnacentral:rRNA from 2 species
AACUUUCAACAACGGAUCUCUUGGUUCUCGCAUCGAUGAAGAGCGCAGCGAAAUGCGAUACCUAGUGUGAAUUGCAGCCAUCGUGAAUCAUCGAGUUCUUGAACGCACAUUGCGCCCCAUGGUAUUCCAUGGGGCAUGCCUGUCUGAGCGUCGUUUC